rnacentral:rRNA from 1 species
UACGUAGGGUCCGAGCGUUGUCCGGAAUUAUUGGGCGUAAAGAGCUCGUAGGCGGUCUGUCGCGUCUGCUGUGAAAACUCAGGGCUUAACCCUGAGCUUGCAGUGGGUACGGGCAGACUAGAGUGCGGUAGGGGAGACUGGAAUUCCUGGUGUAGCGGUGAAAUGCGCAGAUAUCAGGAGGAACACCGGUGGCGGAAGGCGGGUCUCUGGGCCGUAACUGACGCUGGAGGAGCGAAAGCCGUGGGGAGCGAACAGG